GACAGAGGUCCCGAGCGUUAGGCGGAAUCACUGGGCUUAAAGCGUGUGUAGGCGGAUCGUUAAGUGCCUUGUGAAAUCCCACGGCUUAACCGUGGAACUGCUUGGCAUACUGGCGGUCUUGAGCAACCUAGGGGCAAGCGGAACAAGCGGUGGAGCGAUGAAAUGCGUAGAUAUCGCUUGGAACGCCGAAGGUGAAAACAGGCUGCUGGGGUUGCGCCGACGCUGAGACACGAAAGCCAGGGGAGCAAACGGG
rnacentral:rRNA from 1 species